rnacentral:rRNA from 1 species
UACGAAGGGGGCUAGCGUUGCUCGGAAUCACUGGGCGUAAAGGGUGCGUAGGCGGGUCUUUAAGUCAGGGGUGAAAUCCUGGAGCUCAACUCCAGAACUGCCUUUGAUACUGAGGAUCUUGAGUUCGGGAGAGGUGAGUGGAACUGCGAGUGUAGAGGUGAAAUUCGUAGAUAUUCGCAAGAACACCAGUGGCGAAGUCGGCUCACUGGCCCGAUACUGACGCUGAGGCACGAAAGCGUGGGGAGCAAACAGG